CUAACAAGGAUUCCCCUAGUAACUGCGAGUGAACAGGGAUUAGCCCAGCACCGAAGCCUGUGGCCAGUUGGUCACUAGGCAAUGUGGUGUUCAGGUUGUUCCGCAAAGGUGCUGCUCCACCCUAAGUCCAUCAAUGAGUACGGUAGUACGGACAUGGCCCAUAGAGGGUGAAAGGCCCGUGGGGGUGGAGACCAGGCAGGCCAGUACCUUUCUGGAUAGACCUUGGAGUCGGGUUGUUUGUGAAUGCAGCCCAAAGCGGGUGGUAAACUCCAUCCAAGGCUAAAUACAAGCACGAGUCCGAUAGCGAACAAGUACCGUGAGGGAAAGUUGAAAAGUACUUUGAAGAGAGAGUAAACAGUGCGUGAAACCGGUCAGAGGUAAACGGGUGGAGUUGAACUGCAAGCUCUGAGAAUUCAGCUGGUGAGUGUGGUUAGAGCUUGGCUAGUUGUUGGGCCCUGAAGUCUGCGUAGCAGCAGGCCUUCGCCCCUCGGGGUGGAGGUGCGCGAUACACUUACCAAGUGUUGUGCGCUUUGGGUGUUCAUCGAGCCGACUCGCCAGUGCACUUUUUCAGAGUAGUCAUCACGACCGGCACCGCUGUCUGGCUGUUGUGGUUAAACCGAUCUCGCAUUGUCCCUGUGGCUCUGUUUGGUCGGGAUGGCAGGUGGCUCGUUGAUUUGCUUGUGGCUUGCUGCAGGCUUUGGUCUUCGAGUGUAAUCGCUGACCACAUCGGUUCUGUGCAGUGUGUCGGAGACGGCGGCUUUAGUGUGUGCGUGCGUGCCUGUCUGGUCGGCGCGUUCGAGUCUGGUCGUUUGUGCCUGUUCACGCAGGCCUGAUGAUGGCUCGGAUUCGUUCGGCUGGCGGUUGCGUGCGUGGCACAUUUCAUGGGCCAAUAGUCUGUGAUGUAGUGGUAGACUAUCCACCUGACCCGUCUUGAAACACGGACCAAGGAGAGUAACAUGUGCGCGAGUCAUUGGGCGUUACGAAACCCAAAGGCGAAGUGAAAGUAAAGGUUUGGCUUGUCCAGGCUGAGGUGAGAUCCUGUCGUUUCUCAUGCGCGGUACCACCAAGCUACGAGCGGCAGGCGCAUCACCGGCCCGUCCCAUGACAAUUGCUUUCGGGCAUUACCCAGUCGGGGCGGAGCAUGAGCGUACAUGUUGAGACCCGAAAGAUGGUGAACUAUGCUUGCGCAGGUUGAAGCCAGAGGAAACUCUGGUGGAGGACCGCAGCGGUUCUGACGUGCAAAUCGAUCGCCAGACGUGAGUAUAGGGGCGAAAGACUAAUCGAACC
rnacentral:rRNA from 1 species